UUCUGUGUAGGACCCACAUUGCUCACUGGUGGCACCUCAGGGUGAAGAGAUGGACACUUGCAAGAAUGUUUUCUCUCUCCUCGGGGAACGUGGAUGUCUUGUCACUGGUUGCCUGUCCCUGCCAGCAGAGACUGUCCUUCUUCCCCCUGACCUGGGAGGAGUGAUGUGCAGCCAAGUUUACCCCCUUGUAAUCAUCUCUUGUCAUUUCGCUCUUCACUCUGAUACCCACGUGGUCUCCCCAUGUUCCUGCUCCCUAACCCACACCGUGCCUCCCAAAAUGGGGGUUCAGGAAACGACUUUGAAAGUUUGGUACACACAGCAAGCAAACAAUGUAACUCUCCCUGUGCCUCUGCCAAGUUCAUUUGUGCCAUUUUGUUGCAUUGGAUUUAAUAACAGAAACUCCCUGGAAAGGUGAAGGUUGCUGGACCCGGGUGCUCUCGGAACCAAGCAUGUGAGCUGGCUCCCAGGUCAGGAAGAGAGCUGUAGAGACCAAGAGCCAUUUCCAAGCCCGUGGGAAUCUCCUGAUAGGUCCACUUCCGCCCCUGGUAAAGGGCAGUGCCUUGAGGGGUGACCCUGGCUCCUCUGGAAGUGGUCUUUAUACAGUUUGUC
rnacentral:lncRNA from 1 species